UGGCCAUCCUUGCAGGUGGUCGGGAAGGGCAAAACACAGGCAGCAACCGUGUGAGCUUUUCUCACAUGUGCCCAUCCACGUGCCUCAAGCCCGAUCUGAGGGGACUCCCUCUAGAGGCCUAUACUCUUCAAGGACAGCACGCCAUCCCACAGCCACA
rnacentral:sRNA from 1 species